GCAGUGAGGGAGAAGAACAGCGGGCGCGAGUGUGAAACAGAACCGCAGUGGAUCACAUGCAGAAGAACAGCCCACGUUUAUAUUGUAGUGAUACAAAAAAGACACAAGAUAGAAUAAACUAAUUCUUCAUUCUGGUAAAUCUCAAUUCUGUAGCACCUCUUUAAACUUUCACGUGCCUGCGGAUUCAUUUCAAUUCAAAAUGAGAAGGAUUAUGCUGAUUUUCGCACUGGAUUAAGUUCUCAACCACUAAAUUCCCACAGUUCAUACGGACUAAACAAAACGCUUGAUACAUAAAAGUUCACACAAGCAUCUUGGGAAUGGAUCCAAACCCUGACCCCAGCGUUCCCACUGCUGCCCCUGCAGAACAGCAACAACCAGAGCAAGAGACCAGCAGUCAGCAGCCGGGCACAGAUACAGAGAUCGCCGCCAACACCACUCAGCCGAUCAAGAGUGAGCAACAAGAUCCACCCCCUCCCACAACACCUACUCCUGCUGUGGUAGACUCCGCCCACAUUCAAGAAGCCCCACCCAAAGACCACCUGACAGUCAUUGACGAGAACAUGGAAACAAGUAAUGGUGUUUGCUCGGCUCCUAAGGACAGUUCGCCGAGUGCUUCUUCCCCUCCUCGCCAGCUUCACGCCAAACCCAAUCACGCGCACGCUAACGGCCGUGCCAGGCUGAGCAGCCGCUCUGGGUCAGUGAGUCAUGCUGGGUCACCUCGACCGUCGCUCAGCCGUCAGCCCAGCGCAGCCACUGACGCUGGAGGAGACGGAUCCAAACCCAACGACUUUCUGGUAUGGGCAAUUCUGGCCUGCCUCUGCCCUGUCUGGCCCAUCAACAUCGUAGGCUUGACCUUCUCAGUGAUGGUGAGUGUGUUUGUGUGUUCAGGAGCUGUAUGGAUACAAUUUCUGCAAAGUAAAAGCUGGUCACCUUUUCACUUCAUUAUGCAAAACAAGGCAAGUUUAUAUAGCAUAUUUCAUACACUAUGGUAAUU
ensembl:processed_transcript